rnacentral:rRNA from 1 species
CCUACGGGAUGCUGCAGUGGGGAAUAUUGGGCAAUGGGCGCAAGCCUGACCCAGCAACGCCGCGUGAAGGAAGAAGGCUUUCGGGUUGUAAACUUCUUUUCUCAGGGACGAAGCAAGUGACGGUACCUGAGGAAUAAGCCACGGUUAACUACGUGCAAGCAGCCGCGGUAAUACGUAGGUCGCUAGCGUUAUCCGGAUUUACUGGGUGUAAAGGGCGUGUAGGCGGGACUGCAAGUCAGAUGUGACAACCACGUGCUCAACCUGUGGCCUGCAUUUGAAACUGUAGUUCUUGAGUACUGGAGAGGCAGACGGAAUGCCUGGGGUAGCGGUGAAAUGCGUAGAUAUUAGGAGGAACACCAGUGGCGAGGGCGGUCUGCUGGACAGCAACUGACGCUGAGGCGCGAAAGCGUGGGGAGCAAACAGGAUUAGAUACCCUGGUAGGC